GCAUAUGUGUGUGUUAUAGAUGCUGUGCAACAUAAUCAUCUGACAUCUGAUGCCACGGACCAAGAAACUGAGACCAGGAUUACAAAAUGACUUCAAAAUGCACCAGAUAGGAACUAAGCAAACAAAUGACAAAGCGAUGAUACAUUUAUGAAUGUUGAAAGGCUAUACCAAACUGUUCACUGAUGUUGCUGCUGUUUCAAGAGAAGAUAGUGUUCCAAUGUCUUUUUGCAGUCUUAAAUUUGAUGCAAUGUUUUAGAUAUUUUGGCUGCUGUGUGACUGAAGCUUCUGAGAUUUGAUGCCACGGACCAAGAAAUGGAGACCAGGAUUCCAAGUUGACAUGCACCAGAUGGGCGAAGCAAACAUCGGAAUGAUGGAGCAGCCAUACAUUUACUCUUCAUGCUGUUCUAUCUUUGGCCAAUGCUUACACUUGCAAAAUUUACCUGAGUGACAUAGUGCAAGACUGCAGAGUGUAGGAUGAAAAAAUCAGAAUACACAGACAUGAAUCUGGAA